CCGCACGCCUGCCCUCUCUGGGGCUGACAUGGCCUCAUCGGACUCCACACUGAACCUGUCCACUGUCAGUGAUAUUCAGAUUUCGACAUUCCAGCAGACUUUCUGAGGCUGCAGUCUUACUCUUCUGAAAGGAUGUCAGGUGCUAACACCCAGUUUUAGCAGGAAGUUCAGAAUUCCGGCAUGGACCAUAGCAGCCUGCAUAUUUUGGAUCCAGCUGCCUAAAUGACUCACCCCAGAGUCAGUGGGCUUGCAGCAAUCCCCAUGAUUCUUGGAAUUGCUGGCCUCCUCCUUAUAAUUCUGCUUCUGAGUUUUCCUCCCGUGCAAAAUGCAUGAAGGCUUGUCAUCACCAGCCCACUGUCCCAAGGAAGGGUUGCCGUGUUCAGAUGAGGGGGUCAAGAGGCAGUGGUAAAACUGGCUGCAUUUCUGGAAGCUUCCGGCUGCUGUGCAGAUGGCCACAGCAGAGCUUGGACAGGCAGAUUUCUUCUUUCUGGGGCCAUGAGAGCCCCCCCAUACACACCCCCCUUGAAGCUGUGACAGUGAGAUUUUGCCGACUCAGCAGGCCAGGACCUCCAAAGCCCAGACAGGCGCCUUCAGAAGUUGUGAGAGUGCCCAGCAGCAGGGUGUGGAUGGGAAGGCUGAUGGUUUGCGUCUCUUCCCAGCUCUGCAUUCACAGAGCUCACAUGGCUAACUGAAAUCUGCCAUGGGGGCGCCUUUACAGCUUGAGUAGUGACAAGCAGUGGAAGUCUAGGCUGCUUUCCCCAGAGAGCCUGUCCCCAGCACUGUGCCGUCAGGCGUGUUCCUCCCCCUCCCACUCCUGGCCUUUCUGGAAUCCCGGGAGAGCCACUGCCUGCCGCUCUGCUUGCCCUCUGCCUUCCCUGGCCGCUUUCACCCCCUAUGACCUCCCCCUCCCAGCCUGUGGACCGACUACAGAAACGUCUCCUCCCCUCACCCCUACCGCCCCGCAGGAUCCUGCCCUCAUGGUGAGAGGGUGGUGCGUGCACAGCACCCACAGGCUCUGUCUGUUCCUCGUGGGACCCAUGGCGGGCGCCUCUGCCCACAGAAAUGGGGCUUCCCCCGGCAGUGCCCACACCUCUGCAGCGUUUCUGUGGAUGGGUUAUAAUUGGCUCCAGCUGUGCCCUCCUGCACUUUUUCUAGUUUUCCCACUCUUGACCUCCCCGAUGCUUUCCUUUUGGCACGAGGGUGGCGUGGUUUUCAGUUCAUAAUCCAGUAAGUCCUGUUAAAGCACCAUGGAAACAAGGCCAAGUAAGACAGAGCCACCUCACCCUGAACAAGUGCCGGAUAGGGCAGGGUCCUGAAGAGAGUUUAAGGCCUGGAUGGAGUGUGCCUUCCUGAGUCUCAGAGGGUACUAAGCUGACAUCAGUAAGGAUCCUAGUAUGACUUCUAGAAGUCCAUACUAGUCACUUUCUUUCUCAACCUGCCCUGCUUCUAUCAUGGUUAAUGUUUUUAAAACACCAACCUCCGCUUUUCCGCCCACUCCCCCCUCCCCCCGAGCGCCGCUCCGGCCGCACUGCGCUCGCUCUGAGCUCUGGGCUCCUGCUAAGCCAGCGCCGCUGUCACCUCCCUCCAGUCGCCAUCAUGAUGAUCUACUGGUACCUCAUUAGCCAUGACGAGAAGUUCUCCGACAUCUACAAGAUCCAGGAGGUCGCGGAUGGGCUGUGUCUGGAGGUGGAGGGGAAGAUGGUCAGUAGGACAGAGGGUAACAUUGAUGACUCGCUCAUUGGUGGAAAUGCCUCCGCUGAAGGCCCCGAGGGUGAAGGUACAGAAAGCACAGUAAUCACUGGUGUCGAUAUUGUCAUGAACUAUGACUUGCAGGAAACCAGCUUCACAAAAGAAGCCUACAAGUAGUACAUCAAAGAUUACAUGAAGUCAAUCAAAGGGAAACUUGAAAAACAGAGACCAGAAAGAGUAAAACCUUUUAUGACAGGGGCUGCAGAACAAAUCAAGCACAUCCUUGCUAAUUUCAAAAACUGUCAGUUCUUUAUUGGUGAAAACAUGAAUCCAGAUGGCAUGGUUGCUCUGCUGGACUACCGUGAGGAUGGUGUAACCCCGUAUAUGAUUUUCUUUAAGGAUGGUUUAGAGAUGGAAAAAUGUGUAAGUAUAAAGAAGUGGGUUGAAAUCAGUCAUGUAAAAAUGGAGGUAUUACAACCUUUAGCAAAUAAACCACUUAAUGAUAAAAAAAAAACACCAACCUCCAAAUGUGACAUGUGGAAGCUAAACCCAGUUCUCAGUUUCUGAGUACUGAUUUCAGGUACUGCUGGAUCCAGGGGCUUAAAAUGAUGGGAAAUGAUGUCUGUAUCCCGGCACUGCUGUCCUGCCUCAGUGGACUGUAAUCUGAGGGCCUCUUGCCACGUACGGGGAGACUCAGACUUAGAUCAAGUCUCUGGGCAACUUUGGGAAAGAGAGCUGUUGCUUCCCAGGGUGAAUGCAAGUGUUAGAAUCGACUCUUCCUGUCCAGAGUUGGGUAGUGGACCCGCUCCUGGAGGUGAGGAGUUUAGGAUUAGCCCCUCAUGACUGGGGAAGAACACAUCCCCAGAAGCUCCUCCGGGGGGGUGUUACUUGCAAAAGGAGAGAAAGCGAUGAGGGAGCAACACACGAGAUGUUCACAGAAGCCCUAAAGUGGAGCAUGGCCAGGCCCGGCCGGGGGCGUUGAGUACAGGAGCCGACUGGGGUGCGAGCGCAGACUGAGACGGGAGGGGCGGGCCGCCCCGUGUGCCUGGUCUCUGCGAGGGAAAGGGGCUCUGGGGAGGUCCCAGAGUGACGGUGGUCAGCACCCAGCUUCACAGAAACUCACUCUGCUCACCUCGCUGAUUCCAAGUCACAGAGAUUCUCAACCUGCUCAAGCGUCCCCAGCCCAGUGACAAUGACAGUAAGCCUCCCCUCUCCUCCACUUCUGCGGCCUCUCUCUGCCACCUCCUCUUGCUCCUCCGCAUGGGCAGGGUGCCUCCCUCCCCACCCCCCCGACUCUGCACAGAAACUGAGCUUAUCAGGGAGCAAAUCCAAGCUGCCAGGCACUCUGGCCGCCUCUGCUCCCUGCCUUUCCUGCCAUCUCAGCUCUGGGCUCCCCCUCCAGAAGGCCUUCCCCGGCGGGCCCGGUCUCUGCCCACACGCACGCUUGAGCCCUGGACUGGCCUCUGUCUCAGAGCUUCCACAAGUGGCUCAUGUUCAUCUGUCAUCUAGCCCACCUUGCUUUCAGACCCUGAGCUCCUCAGGGUAGGAGCUGUGUCUUCAGCACCAGCUACAAGGCCCUCAGAAAGAGGUAAGAAAACAAUUGUCCAAACCUGCAGAUGAAUUGAAAGAGCAGUGAACACCCAUGCACCCUUGGGCCGGAAGUACUUGUAGGUUGGUAGUUCACUGGAAGCUGUGGAAAACCACAAAGUUGGUUGUUUUUAUGAGGAUAUGUAGAACAGGAGGCAUCACAGCGAUCUGAGGUUGGAAUGUGUUCUCUGGGAGAAUAUGACAUUUGCACAUUUCAGCGUCUGUCAUAAAACUCUAGACUUGUGCUGUAACCUAACGAAUGUGGGACCUUGGUCUGUUUCAGUUCAGGUGUCCACGUGACAAUAGCUGUGUGACUUCAGGCAGGUUACGGAACCUCCCUGUGCCCCCAUUUCCUCAUCUGUGAGAAAGAAGACAGUAAUCCUUUACCUUAGAGUGCUGUUGGGAAGGUCAAAUGGGUAAAAGCAUAUGGAGAAUGUGCCCUUUAUAUGCGAACUUGCAGGCGGUGGCUAAGAAGAGAAAAAUGAGCAGAAAUUGUGAGUAUCCCAACAGACUCGCUUCCUUCUAGUAGCCAGGAAAUCCCAAGAGUGGGUGGAAAUCUUUGAAGGGAAACAUUGGGUUCUAAGUGGCGGAGCUUUCUGUUUUCAAAGCCGUUCCUGGAGUCCUGUAAUCCGCAGCCACGCUCACCGAGUGUGACCCCUCCUGGAAGCUGUCCUACUGGGAGGCGGCCCUACGCAGACCCCUUGGUUUCUCUUGGUGGUUCCUGUAAAGGCGGGGUGCUGAGCCUGCACCUCCCCCUCGGGGCAGGGGAUCGCCGGGACCACUGUGUCCUGCAGACCAGGAAGCAGAGGGCAGCACCCCCAGCUGCUUGUGACCUGACCAGGGUCGGACCCAUCAGGUCCUAACCCAGCCCAGGGCUCGUGGGCUCAGGCUUAACUGAAACUACUUGUGGGUUUCAACUCUCAUUAUCCAAAAGUGGUGGGCAUUUUGUUUCUGACCUCAUAAACAAAGGGUGGGGAACCUGAUUUCGCUGAUUGUGGACUGUGCAGGGUUCACGGGUGCUGGCAAAGAAUGUGGCAUUGGACUUGGGGUGCACAGAGAGUUUUGUGUUUUGAGUAACAUAAAGACUUGGUAUUGACUAUUUUUAUUUACCACCUUCUCUUACUUGUCAGAGUAGGUUCUAUAAUCAUUGUUUACUUUCCUGAAUAACAAAGCAAAACAAACCAAAAAAGCCCAGAAUUUCACUGUAGAAUGCUCUCUCAUGAGAACCACAUGACUCUAAAGCCUAAGUGAGGAAAAAACAAAGAAAUUACGGGUGAGCAGUCAGAUGAUAAUAAAUACAUGGCUUGUAUGGAAAACCAAAUCUUUGCUAUGGCCAGCAGCAGAAUGUCAGAGAGAGCAAAGUGUGAACCUGGCAAAGGCCAUGAAGCUGAGGGUGGGCGCAGCCCUGCCACUCACAUGGCAUCAGCUGACUAACUGCCACGUCUGUCUGUAAGCAGCUCAGGGUGAGAGACUCCCGUCUUUAGUUCAAGGACACUUGCUUCUUGAAGGAGCAUCUACUUCACUAAUCUGGGGUUAUCAGAUCCCUAAGGGACACUAGAGUUAGGCUGCCCUCUAAAAAGCCCCAGGUAGGUAAGAGUGAAAUGAAUGAAUUUUGCUAAAGAUGCAAAACCUGUUUUGGAGACUUGGACAUGUGGAAAUAGAAUCCAUUCAUCCGGCAGAAAAUCCCCUACUCUGUAAGUCUAGUGAAAUGCGAUAGGGCUGUGUGUGGCUGUCUGCAUCCUCUGGCACUCCUCCUGACACCCCCUCUGUGUGAGCCGGUUCUGAGACACCAGCCCACGCUCUGAGGCGCAGGAGUCGAGGCAGCUCUCACUCAAGCACCUGGGGUCAGGAGCUGCUCUCUGCCUGUGAGCCAGCCUUCUGUUCUCAGAGAAAGCUCCCUUUCCCUCACGGCAGGCCUCCCUCUUCUGCCCUGUGGAGGCGGAGCAUGAGACCUCCAACCCACCCCUCAAGACACGCUGACUCCCUUCAAAGACAGGCUGACUCCCCCAAUUCUGUGGUGUUCCAUU